AGCCUUAUAUUCAAUAAUGAUAUAAAAUUGCAAAUUUUAAGGAGUAAAUUAAACAAUACUAAGGCUU
rnacentral:tRNA from 1 species